CAGAAUCAUAUGACUUGCUCACAGCCAGGGAAUGGAGAUGGAUGAACAGAGUUUUCUGUGUUUAAGUUUCAGGCCAAACUUUGGAGACUCUUUACAUAUUCUGAAAGUUGAAAUUGGAGGCAAUGCACAGACAACAGAUGGAACUGAACCUUCUCACAUGCACUACGAAGAUGAUGAAAACUACUUUAGAGGUUAUGAAUGGUGGCUGAUGAGGGAAGCAAAGAAAAGAAACCCCAACAUUACACUAAUAGAUCUGGAAUGAAAGGCCCUUUGACAGGAAGUACAUUAAGGUGCUUCGUCAAACUUUGGAUAGAGUUGGCUUAACCAGUGUUCGCAUCAUCGCAGCAGAUGGAGACUGGAAAAUCUCCAAAGCUAUGACAGUUGAUCCAUAUCUCAGUAAUGCUGUUCAGGUCAUUGGGUAAGUAUGAAGUGUAGUGAUUUCUAGACCUGGGUGCAGGAGCCAAGGGGGCCAUGGCCCCCUCACUUUGACAAAAGAAACAUAUGCACAGCGGGGGGAAAAGGCGUUUAUAAGCACACAGUGUUUAUUUGCUGUUAUACUCUGCAUCCUACAUAAAGAGGCGCUAAUUAUAUCAUAUGUACCUUACUAUCCUGAUGUCUGAAUGUUACUGCUGAGUUCAGCUUCUCGGGCCUUCGGUGGCUGAAAACCAACCUGUGAUUAUCCAUGACUAAGGCUAUAUUUAUUUAUUUUAUUUAUUUAUUUAUUCAUUCACUGAUUUUCACAAUUUCUGUGAC